UACGUAGGUGGCAAGCGUUGUCCGGAAUUAUUGGGCGUAAAGCGCGCGCAGGUGGUUCCUUAAGUCUGAUGUGAAAGCCCACGGCUCAACCGUGGAGGGUCAUUGGAAACUGGGGAACUUGAGUGCAGAAGAGGAGAGUGGAAUUCCUGGUGUAGCGGUGAAAUGCGCAGAUAUCAGGAAGAACACCCGUGGCUAAGGCGGCCCUCUAGUACGGUACUGACGCUGAGACGCGAAAGCGUGGGGAGCGAACAGG
rnacentral:rRNA from 1 species